AGGAUAGAGGCGCAGUUGUCAAGAGUAUCCCCGGUGCAAGGCAUCGCAAAGCCGUUGCCGGUGGAGAAAGGGGCCGCUGCCGAAGGCCGUGCGGGCGCGUACAGCCUGGGCAAACGGAGAAGAUCCGUUUGACUGUCGCAUUUGCGGAGCGCUAUUUU
rnacentral:ncRNA from 1 species